rnacentral:rRNA from 1 species
AUACGAAGGGUGCAAGCGUUAAUCGGAAUUACUGGGCGUAAAGCGCGCGUAGGUGGUUUUGUAAGUUGGAGGUGAAAGCCCCGGGCUCAACCUGGGAAUUGCCUCCAAAACUGCAUGACUAGAGUACGGUAGAGGGUAGUGGAAUUUCCUGUGUAGCGGUGAAAUGCGUAGAUAUAGGAAGGAACACCAGUGGCGAAGGCGACUACCUGGACUGAUACUGACACUGAGGUGCGAAAGCGUGGGGAGCAAACAGGAUUAGAUCCCCUGGUAGUCCACGCCGUAAACGAUGUCAACUAGCCGUUGGGAUCCUUGAGAUCUUAGUGGCGCAGCUAACGCAUUAAGUUGACCGCCUGGGGAGUACGGCCGCAAGGUUAAAACUCAAAGGAAUUGACGGGG